UACGUAGGGUGCAAGCGUUGCCCGGAAUUAUUGGGCGUAAAGAGCUCGUAGGCGGCUUGUCGCGUCGGCUGUGAAAACCUGGGGCUCAACCCCGGGCCUGCAGCCGAUACGGGCAAGCUAGAAUUCGGUAGGGGAGACUGGAAUUCCUGGUGUAGCGGUGAAAUGCGCAGAUAUCAGGAGGAACACCGGUGGCGAAGGCGGGUCUCUGGGCCGAUAUUGACGCUGAGGAGCGAAAGCGUGGGGAGCGAACAGG
rnacentral:rRNA from 1 species